rnacentral:rRNA from 1 species
AUACGGAGGGAGCUAGCGUUGUUCGGAAUUACUGGGGGUAAAGGGUGCGUAGGCGGCUCUGCAAGUCAGGUGUGAAAACCAUCGGCUUAACUGAUGGACUGCAUUUGAAACUGUGGGGCUUGAGUGGAGUAGAGGCAGACGGAAUUCCCGGUGUAGCGGUGAAAUGCGUAGAGAUCGGGAAGAACACCAGUGGCGAAGGCGGUCUGCUGGGCUCUAACUGACGCUGAGGCACGAAAGCAUGGGUAGCAAACAGGAUUAGAUACCCUGGUAGUCCAUGCCGUAAACGAUGAUUACUAGGUGUGGGGAGUCUGACCCUCUCCGUGCCGGAGUUAACACAAUAAGUAAUCCACCUGGGAAGUACGACCGCAAGGUUGAA